rnacentral:sRNA from 1 species
GCAGUGUAAGCAGAAUUAAGGUUCUGCUACCUCUGUGUUUAGAAUAUUCCCAAUGGAUUUUUCAUUUUUCAGGUGCUAUUUUUUGACCCUACAUAGACUUUAAUUUAAAAUGAAUUUGGUAACGUUUCUCCUCUAUCUCUACAUAUAUUCAUGCUUUUCACCUGCUCUUUUAACACCUGCUUUUAGUUUCUGAGGCACUUUUUCUGAACUCUACUUGUGCACUGGAUCCCUCCUCCUUUCUCUGCCAGGCUGUGUUUACUUUAUCCUUACAUCGCCACUUAGUGAUUCCUUUCUUUGUAUAAACAUGGUAAAUGUCUUCAUUAGCCUAAAAGGAAAGACCAAAUAAAACCUUUCCUACCACUUGGAUGCGUUUGCAUCCUGACUUCUGAAAUGCCUCCAGCCUCCAUUUUCUCCCUUUCCAGUUAUUCCUUAGCCCAGCCAUCUCUAUCUUUAGCUCCUACAAUUUUCUUAGGAUAUUCUGGGAAAGAUGAGCGGAGACUGCCUGCCUUGUCAAAUCUAGUGUCUUUUUUUCAGUCCUCACACUGCUUGACCUAUGUAUAACCUCCUAUACUUCCCUCUUUGGAUACUCCUCUGGGUUUUCUGUGGUAGUCAGGAUUCCUCCCUGAGAUUUAUUUCCCAUGAGUCUUGACCCCUCCCCUCAGUUGGUGCUAUUUCCCCCUACCCGCCCUCCGAUGAUCUUAUCAGAGCCCACAGGUUCAGUUUUCUUUCAUGCUACCUGAAUGUCCUGAUAAACUGGCUCGCUCUCUUCUUUACCUUCCAUAAUGGCAUUACCAUUUACCACGCCACCCAAGAUACUUACUAGGAACCUCAAAGUAUUGUAUUCUUUUUCUCCAUCACACUCAUACUUAAUCAUCAAGUCCUUUUGAGCUUGUCUCCUCUUGAAUAUGUCCCUUCUUAAUUCCUGCUGCCUUCUUAGUAAAGGCCUUCAUUCUUUUUUCCCUAGUAAUAAUCUUUUCCAUAUGUUCCGGUUAAAAUACCAUGUUCUCCCUAUUCCUUAUUACAUAGUUAGCAUUCCUUGAAAAAAAACAAUUCUCUCAGGCCUCCAUACCUUUAACAUGUUACCCACUCUGCCUCUGCUCUUCUGGAACUAGAACACUCAUCCUUGAUUGAAGGCUGGGCUUCUCUAUGAAGGUUGGUCCUGCCUCCUUACUUGAGGUGAAGCUUUGUACAUGCCUGUAUUACGGACAUCCUCUUAUUUAAGUGUUUGUCUCUUUCAUCAUUGGGACUCCAGCACCCAGCAUAGUCCCUAGUAUACUAGUUGGUGCCUAAUAAAUAGUAGCUAUUAUUAGAAAAGGAAGGGUGAAAUUGACAUGGGAAUUACUAAAAUGUAUAUGGAAAUGAUUUUUAAAGGGAAAGGUAAUGAUUUUCUGGCAGGAAAAGCAGCAAUGACAAGAUUACUUAAGUCUUGUGAAAUAACACUUCUCUUCCUUGACCUGCUGCUUCCCUUUUUUACCACACACACACGCACACAUACCACAGCCCUUUGAGACUGAAAGCAGCUCUAUUGAGAAUAGUAGUGUCAACUGUAUUAUGUAGAAAUUCUAAAGUUUUUGGGAUUAUUUCAUAGCCCUGACCUUGCUACUUCUCUCCACUUUAUGUGGCAGGUUUAAUCUCAGGUCUCCCUCAUACACUUCUCAGCCUCAGCACCUAACCCUCACACAACACUCCAGUAUUGAUGCAGUCAAUCUUGUAUAACAUUUUUUGAAUGUCCAAUGUGCAAAGCACCAUGUUGGAAAUUAUACAGAGGUGAAUAAGACAAAAACUCUUGCUCUCAAAGAUGUCAGUCUUUUUCUUUGCAAGGAUAACACAUGUAGAGUAAAAUGCAUAAAGGGGACUAAUUUUAAAUGUACAGCUUAAUUAAUUUUUAUGUAUGUUAACACCCAUGUCACCACCAUGUUUAGGACAUUUCCAGCACCCCUGAAAUUUCCUUCAUGCCCCUUCCCAGUCUGUACCUACACCUCUAAAUCUAUUUUCAAUCCUAAUGGCCUUUUAAAUAACUGGGCUUCUCACAACCAUAGUGAACAGAAACAGCUGGGUUGUCAACAUCUAACCUAAUACUUCGGGAAAACUCGUGAUAGUUUCCAUGUUAAGAGAGACAUGGAGCAGGGCAUUGGCAUGGUGGAUGGAUCACGCCUGUAAUCCCAGCACUUUGGGAGGCCGAGGUAGGGGGAUUGCUUGAGCCCAGGAGUUCAAGACUAGCCUGGGUAAUAUAAGGAAAACCUGUCUCUGCAAAAAAAAAAAAAAAAAAAGAGGAUACAAACAAAUGGAAGAACAUUCCAUGCUCAUGGGUAGGAAGAAUCAAUAUCGUGAAAAUGGCCAUACUGCCCAACGUAAUUUACAGAUUCAAUGCCAUCCCCAUCAAGCUACCAAUGCCUUUCUUCACAGAAUUGGAAAAAACUACUUUAAAGUUCAUAUGGAACCAAAAAAGAGCCCGCAUCGCCAAGUCAAUCCUAAGCCAAAAGAACAAAGCUGGAGGCAUCACACUACCUGACUUCAAACUAUACUACAAGGCUACAGUAACCAAAACAGCAUGGUACUGGUACCAAAACAGAGAUACAGAUCAAUGGAACAGAACAGAGCCCUCAGAAAUAACGCCACAUAUCUACAACUAUCUGAUCUUUGACAAACCUGAGGAAAACAAGCAAUGGGGAAAGGAUUCCCUAUUUAAUAAAUGGUGCUGGGAAAACUGGCUAGCCAUAUGUAGAAAGCUGAAACUGGAUCCCUUCCUUACACCUUAUACAAAAAUAAUUCAAGAUGGAUUAAAGACUUAAACGUUAGACCUAAAACCAUAAAAACCCUAGAAGAAAACCUAGACAUUACCAUUCAGGACAUAGGCAUGGGCAAGGACUUCAUGUCUAAAACACCAAAAGCAAUGGCAACAAAAGCCAAAAUUGACAAAUGGGAUCUAAUUAAACUAAAGAGCUUCUGCACAGCAAAAGAAACUACCAUCAGAGUGAACAGGCAGCCUACAAAAUGGGAGAAAAUUUUUGCAACCUACUUAUCUGACAAAGGGCUAAUAUCCAGAAUCUACAAUGAACUCAAACAAAUUUACAAGAAAAAAACAAACAACCCCAUCAAAAAGUGGGCGAAGGACAUGAACAGACACUUCUCGAAAGAAGACAUUUAUGCAGCCAAAAAACACAUGAAAAAAUGCUCAUCAUCACUGGCCAUCAGAGAAAUGCAAAUCAAAACCACAAUGAGAUACCAUCUCACACCAGUUAGAAUGGCAGUCAUUAAAAAGUCAGGAGACAACAGGUGCUGGAGAGGAUGUGGAGAAAUAGAACACUUUUACACUGUUGGUGGGACUGUAAACUAGUUCAACCAUUGUGGAAGUCAGUGUGGCGAUUCCUCAGGGAUCUAGAACUAGAAAUACCAUUUGACCCAGCCAUCCCAUUACUGGGUAUAUACCCAAAGGACUAUAAAUCAUGCUGCUAUAAAGACACAUGCACACGUAUGUUUAUUGCGGCAUUAUUCACAAUAGCAAAGACUUGGAACCAACCCAAAUGUCCAACAAUGAUAGACUGGAUUAAGAAAAUGUGGCACAUAUACACCAUGGAAUGCUAUGCAGCCAUAAAAAAUGAUGAAUUCAUGUCCUUUGUAGGGACAUGGAUGAAAUUGGAAAACAUCAUUCUCAGUAAACUAUCGCAAGAACAAAAAACCAAACACCACAUAUUCUCACUCAUAGGUGGGAAUUGAACAAUGAGAACACAUGGACACAGGAAGGGGAAUAUCACACUGGGGACUGUUGUGGGGUGGGGGGAGGGGGGAGGGAUAGCAUUGGGAGAUAUACCUAAUGCUAGAUGAUGAGUUAGUGGGUGCAGUGCACCAGCAUGGCACAUGUAUACAUAUGUAACUAACCUGCACAAUGUGCACAUGUACCCUAAAACUUAAAGUAUAAUACAAAAUAAAAAAAAUAAAAAAUAAAUAAGAAAAAGAAAGCCAGGUAUGGUGACAUGUGCCUGUGGUCCCAGCUAUUAGGGAGGCUGAGGUGGGAGGAUCCCUUGAGCCCAGGAGGUUGAGUCUGUAGUGAGCAGUGAUUACGCCACUGCACUCCAGCCUGGGCAAGACCCUGUCUCAAAAAAAAAAAAGACUUAGAAUUGGUGAUCCAGGCCGCCUAAUGGCAUCAAAUAAUUUGUUAUAUCUUUAAUUUAUUGAAGGAUCACCACAUGCUUUUAAAUAGCAUGGAGAAAUGGAAAGAAUAGGGACUUUUUACUCAGGUAAUACCCAGCCUGCUACCUAACAGGUUGUGUUGUACUAAAUAAAAUGGUACAUAAGAAGAAACACUGUAAAUUAUAUAGUGCGAAUCAAAUAUUGUUAAUAAACCAAUAUCUGUAUAUCCUAUGUCCCUGAUUAAUCUUUAAUUUAGAUACUCCUUCUAGUUAUCUAAUACACAGCAGAGUGAGAAAAAUCAUUAUGGAUUAGGUUCUUUAGUAAGAAACCUGAGAUGGACUUCUCAUUAGCAUUAACUAGUUAUUGCCCAGCUUUGGAGAGCCUUCUUUUGGCUUAUCAUUUAUUAUAAGCCCAGAAAUAGGUAACUAAUCAGAGAUAAAUGUAUGGGUUGUCUGUAUCUAGUUUUAUGCCUUUUUUUGCCUAAGACGUAGUCAAAUUAAUAUUUUAACUAAUACAUCUUAGCAGAGUUUAGUUAAGCACAAAGUUAACAGUGGGUAGGAUUGAAUCUUGAAAGUAAUCAUGUCUGUAAUGUUUUUCAUGCAUGCAAAAAGCACAGACAAAACCACUCAUGCCCUAUUAAUAAACAAAAUACAGAUCAAAGUUUUCAAAAGUAAUCACUCUAUUUAUUCUAAAUGUCUGUGGCUUUAGGAAAAUACCACCAGCUAGUACUUACCUAUUUAAAGAUGUAGAAUUUAUUAUCCUCUAAUAUUCUUAUCAGUUGUUUCCACAACUUUAGUUUACUAUUGGACUUUCAAAAAUUUAAAGAAUUACAAGUAAAAUUCAUUAAACAUUUGUGUGUGAAUAGUAAUACACAGUAAUUAGUACAGAAUGUUGCUUCUUCAACAAAUUGAGUUUUCAGGGAAAUCAGCAAGUAAAUGAAAUAUAAAUUUUUGGUAAAAGUAUCAAACAUUCAUCUUGCCCAUUUUUCCUCUUAAACUUUAUUAUCUAAUCAAACAUAGUUUUCCAUAAGAUGUAAUAAAAUAUAGAUAAGGUUGGAAUAUUUGAGGAUCCAUUUGUGGAACUGAAUUUAAUGAGACUUCAUUGGUGACACACUCAAUUUUUACCGGGUAAUUAGCUAAUAAUGUUGGUCACUGUCUCACAGUUCAAGUAGCUUUAAGAUGAUGUGGCAAGGAAAACACAAAGCUUUUGGGUAACCAGCGUUCUUAAAUGUAUGGUUUUUGACCAGGUGAACCCUUUAGAAGUGAUUUCUGUUUUAAAAGUAUGUACUUAAAAUACCUUUGGCUGUGAUGAAUGUAGAUCCCAGCAGAAUACCAAAAUCCUAUUUUUUUUGACUGAGUAUUUGUAGAUGCUUAAUGACUGAAAUGAAUUUGGAGGCACUGAUGAAAGUGAUUUUUUUAAAGUUCUCAGGUACUGUUCAAUUAUUUAAUGUUAAGUUUAGUAUCAAGAUACAGUUGUUUUUAAAAUGCCAAAAUGCUGUUUAUUAUACAGAAUAUUUUAUUACAUUUGCAAUAUCUUUGUAUACAGUGAUUUUUUUCUUGAUAAUAUAAUAAAUGGAAAAAUUCUAAAA